UUAUAAUUGAAAACCCUAAAAAUCGAGAGCCCGAUCCCAAAUCUCAUCAUCGCAGGUAAAAAAAUCCCUCAUCCUCAUCGCGCCGACCCUCCGGAGCCAUGAGCAGCCGCGCCAGCAGAACACUUUACGUCGGAAACCUCCCCGGUGACAUACGCGAGAGAGAGGUCGAGGAUUUGUUCUACAAGUAUGGACGCAUAGCUCAUAUCGACCUUAAGGUUCCCCCUAGGCCUCCUGGCUAUGCUUUUGUUGAGUUUGAAGAUGCUCGCGAUGCCGAAGACGCAAUCCGCGGCCGUGACGGCUAUGAUUUUGAUGGCCAUCGUCUGAGGGUUGAGCUUGCGCACGGCGGGCGUGGAAAUUCUUCAGGUGGAGAUCGUCACCGAGAUGGCGGCGGUGGCGGCGGUGGUGGUCGAGGCGGACGUGGAAUGUCCAGGCGCUCUGAAUUUCGUGUGAUGGUGACUGGACUACCGUCUUCGGCUUCGUGGCAAGAUCUUAAGGAUCACAUGCGACGGGCUGGGGAUGUCUGUUUCUCCCAAGUUUUCCGUGAUGGCAGUGGCACAACAGGAGUAGUGGACUACACUAACCUGGAAGACAUGAAGUAUGCAGUAAAGAAGCUUGAUGGCUCUGAUUUCAGGAAUGCCUUUUCCCGUUCUUCUGUUCGGGUGCGGGAAUAUGAUGCGAAGCGGGACUCGUCUAUGAGCCCCAGCCGUGGUCGAUCUCCGGGAAGAGGUAGAAGCUACAGUCGUAGUCGUAGUAGAAGUUACAGCCGGAGCAGAAGCAGGAGCAAGUCUCCUAAACCCAAAUCUUCUCGCCGCUCCCCUGGUAGAUCAAGGUCCGGGUCUCCACCCCGCUCACGAUCAAAAUCUCGCUCUCCAUUGGGAUAUGGAUAAUUGCGGCAAACUGGGGAAUGGAUAUUAGGAUCUUGUUGGAUAUGGUGAAUUGCAUACAACUUUUUCUGUGGAGGUAUGCUGUUAUCUAGAUAGGCAGCUUUGUAAACCUUCAUGGUGCCGUUGUUCUAAUGCUUUUAGCAUUGUAACUGUCCCUGGGUGCUAGAUUGGGAACUAUGGAGGUCUUGGAUUGCAAUAAUAAAGCUGGAUAUCUGUGAACUUAGUGCCAUUGGAUGUGGAAGUCAUCAACAAUGAGCAGUAGAGACAAUUUGAUUUUCAUUUCCUGCUCCAACAUUUUUGCCAAGCUUAUAGGGUGCACUAUCUGGAUUCUGCGCAUUCUUGUGUCACAGUAGGGAAGAAUGCUCCUCUUCUUUCUACUGGUGUCUUAAAAAUAUCUUCUUUAGAAUUUGCCAAUAUUUUGUUUCUGAGUUUGUGUCUUUUUUGGUGGGGAAGAUUUCGGUUGAAUUGCCAAAUGUUUAUUCUUUUUUCUUGCAUCCUUGUUGGAUAUGCAACUCUCUCGCAUGGAAGAGGCAUCAAGGACCUUGGAUCAAAUUGGUAAAGAAAUAUGGUAUUAAAUUGAGUUGUUUCUGGAACUUUUGCAGAUCACGAUCAAGAAGCAGAUCUCCCUUGCCUUCAAAGCGCAUAAGUAAAAGCCCAAAGGAAGAUGCAAGCAAAAGUCCUAAGAAGCGCAGUGGCAGCCGAAGUCCAAGCCGCAGCAGGAGCAGGAGCAGGAGCAGGAGUUUGUCACG